ACUCAAGGGUGAGCCCUUCCCUGGGGGUGCAGCCUUCGCUGGAGGGUGCAUCCUCCCCUCGGGGUGCGCCGUGGCACAUGUUGCCUCUCCACUCACUGCUCUUUCUUGGCUGCCUCCUUCCUGGUGAGUCCUUUCCCGCUGUUGCUCACUAUCUGCGGAUUUCUGAUCACUUGUCUUCCCUCUUGAGCUUGGUGAACAGACCAGGAGGAGGGCACAGGAUGACCCCCAUGGCUCCCCGAACAUUUCUAAGACCAAAACCAAAAAGCCCAAGGGGAGAGGACCGGACCCCACUCAGGGCUCAGAAAGCUGAUGCCUGGCGCCCCGCAGUGGCGUGGGGUGGUCUUGCGUGGCUGUGGACCCCUCAACCAGGCAGGCGAGAGCAGGGAGGGAAGUGGGUACAAGUGAGCAAGUGUGUGAGUGUGUGGGAGUAUGACUGUUAGUGUGUGUGUGUCUGAGUGUAUGUGUGACUGUGUAUGUGUGUCUGAGUGUUAGUGUGUGUGUGAGUGCGUGGGAGUUUGUGUGUCUGAGUGUAAGUAUGUGUGUCUGAGUAUAUGUGACUGCGUAUGUGUGUCUGAGUGUUAGUGUGAGUGUGUGUGUCUGCGUGUUCGCGUGUGUCUGAGUGUAUGUGUAUGUGUCUGAGUAUGUGUGACUGUGUAUGUGUGUCUGAGAGUUAGUGUGUGUGUGUCUGCAUUUAGUGUGUGAGUGUGUGUCUGAGGGUUAGUGUGUGUGUCUCAGUGUUAGUGUGUGGGAGUGUGUGUGAGUGUGAGUGGGUGUCUGAGUGUUAGUAUGUGUCUGAGUGUUAGUGUGGGAGUAUGUCUGAGUGUGUGUAUCUGUUAGUGUGUGAGCGUAUGAGUGUGAGUGUGUGCAUGCUGGGAAGAGACAUGGGCUAAGAAUAAAACACUUUCCCAGAGUGUAGCAAAUAAUAGCAAAGUUCACCCAUCAGUUCUCCUGCCUUAAGCAACUAUGGGCUUUCACUCUUCAACUUUCUUCUCUCUCUCUCUCUCUCACACACACACACACACACACACCAUGAGACCUCUUCUGAGCUCUCCUGGCAAGGUUGGGCUCCCUGCUGCCCCCAUAUCCCCUCACUUACACCAAGUUCCGUCCCCCUGACUGGAAUGUUUGGGGUGAGAGCCCCUCCUUUGUCCUAUUUGCACCAGCGUCAGCUGAACGUGUUAGGAAGUGUGACCGCCGCCUCUCAUGGACCCCAGAACAACCUCCUGUUCGCACAGGGGCCCACUCCUAAUCUUCUGGAGUUGGCAUCAUGGGAGAUGACCAAACUCUCCUGAAAAGUCUUGCGCAGUACCAUGAUCAAUAAAACUAGGAGAGUAUAACAGAACGCUCUGAAUUUGGAGCCAGAAAACCUUGAUUCAGGUCCUUCAUGUGGCCUUGGGCAAAUCACUUAACCUUUCUGAGCCUGUACCCUCAACCGUAUCUUCCUGUUUCUUAAGAUCAAUGUGAGGUUUAAUGAUAAAUAACUCUUAAAAGGGCUUUGCAUCAUGCUUGGGCAUUUUGGCUAUUCAAGAACCUCGCGCUGCAUGAAGAAAGAUGCAUUCUGUGUGACUCUGGAGGCUUUUCGAGCAGAGAGAAACAGCAGGUUCACAGCCCUCGGCUUGUUCCUCCUCCUGCUCACACUUCACCCUUCACCCUGGCUGACCUGCGUGUGCCAAACACGGUUGUGAGCUCCCACAGAACGAGGAGAGGCAGCCCGUUCCGCUGCAUCUCCCCAGGGCACCGGCAAGGACAGGCAAAGCCUCGUUGACUGAAUUCACGGAGAGCAGAGACUGCGCCCAGGCCUCGACCCCAGGACUUCUGUGUUGUGUGAGACGUGCUAGUGAUGCCGCUUUAAGCUCUGCUUUGAAAAUGGUCCUUUGACAGAUUCUGAAUGCAAGUGGCCUCCUUACGAGAUCCUGCAGAAUAACAAGGACAACUUAUCACAACUUCCUCAUUGUAAAAUCCAGCUCAGAUUGCAGUUGAAGAUCACAAAUGCUCUCUGUUUCACUUUGCGAUGUUUGUGGUGUCUAAUACAGCAACACAAGCCUAGGUUUCUGUGCAAAGACUUCCUUAUUGUUUAUUUACUAUCCACUUCCUCUGAGCAGGACUGAUCGACUUUUCACUUCUUAGGCCCCUGGUGGGUGGCCUAACAUUGGGAACGUCUCUGGGAAUCAAUGGCCUCCCAUGCUAUUGCCCUAAGAGGAAAAACUAUGGACCCAUUUCCGGCUCGUGAGUUGGAAGUGGAGGUCUGCUGGCGGCCUUUGUCUCCCUGCCUUCCCCUCCUGUCACUGGCUGGAACAUGUGCUUGAUGCCUGGCGUUCAGCAGCCCUGUUGAAACUGUGAGGUGACUGGCAGGUGUCAGAAGGAAAGCAAACUGCCUAGUGACGGCAGAGGCUGCAUGCACUCCACUGCCCUCUGCUCCACUGUCCACUCACCUCCGCUGGCUCUGUGCCCCAAGGCCCUGGCCUCUAUGGCCGGCAUCCAUGGGCUUCCCUAUCCUCUGGCCUCCAGGUGGAUUCAGUCACAGCAGAAGCUGGGAGGGGCAGCUGGAGGUUGGAGAAACAUGAGGCUAGUGUCCAGUUCCCUCCCUGGCCGAGGCAGCCGUGGAGGUGCUCCUUUCCAGGAAGCCAGCACUCCUUUCCGGUGGUCCUGCUCUGACCACGGCAGCUCGAGCUGAGCACAGAGUGACGGCUACAGCUCCCUCCACAUCUGGCCUGGGGUGGGAACAGCUCCUGGAUGCUUCUUCUUCCUGUGCUGGCAUCCCUUAGUCCCUCCCACCUUUUUUUUUUUAAUAUAAUAAACCUGCUUUGUUCAAUCCUCCUCAACCACCCACUGAAGCAAGCCCUCCUUUCCUUGCCGGGACCCAGAGAGCUGCUGGGAAAGAAAGGGUGGGCCCCCCGCAGUGUGGUCAGCACCUGGGCAGACCCCACCCACCUUCUAUGAUGAAAGCCCUGGAUGGAUUCCUAUCCCCACCCUGAGCUCCUCCCCUAACUCCCCAAAACAUUGGGAAGAUGGGCCUUCUGUCCUGGAAGGGCCAGUCUCCUGGGCAGAGCGCUAUGCAUAAGAAGGAAAGCCGUGUUACUCAAUGGUUCUACUGAACCACUAAGCAACAGGGGCUCUGGGGGCACUGUGGAGAUAGAGAACCCUUAGGAAGGCGAUGCUGGAUCCUAUGGGUCUCAACAGAGGGCCUUACGGGUAGGCCCUGUAGGAGGGACUGGGAGGCACAGGUCCCAGGAACACGUGUGCUGGGCACACGUGAGUACAUGCAGGGUCAAAGCUGGCAGGCAGACGGGUUGAGCCUCUCCGUGCUCCCACGGGGUCUGCAUCAGAUUUUGCACUUAGCAAGCGAAUUUGCUUCCCAGGGCCACUGUAACAACCAACCACGAAUGGGAGGCUCAACACAACUGAAACGCACGUCCUCACAGUCCUGGAGGCCCGAACUCCAAAACCAAGGCGCCAGCAGGGCCACGCUUCCUCCACGGAGCCUCGGGGAGCAGACGGUCUUGAGACGAGACUUGCUCCCGCAACCCUUUCCCAGCUGCAGCUGCCUCUCCGCCAUCUCUGCCUCCGUGGCCACGCGGCAUCUUCUCCCUGGCAUGGGCUGAACCACCGCAUCUCGGGCAGGUCUGACGGCGUUUCUAUCAGCACAGCCCACAAUGAUGGUCUUCUCCCUCGCUUCCUGAUUUUGUUUGACAUCCAACCUCCUCUCAGAUGCUGUAAACUAUAAGCUGUACCAUUGUUUUAUGCACUAACAGGGAAGAAAAAAAUGCUGGCAACUAAACCGUGAGGUCCCUUCAAGAGUAAAAUGGAACCUAAGAGGAAGACGGAACCUAACAGAGAUGUCGGGAGGAGAAGCAGCAUGCAUCUUAGAAUUGAUAAGCACGAUACAUGACGACAGGUGUUUUGGUUUUUUGUUUGUUUGUUUGUUUGUUUUUGAGACAGUCUCGCUCCCUCUCCAGGCUGGAGUGCAAUGGCGUGAUUUCAGCUCACUGCAACCUCCACUUUCCGAGUUCAAGCGAUUCUCCUGCCUCAGCCUUCCAAGUAGCUGGGAUUACAGGCACGUGCCACCACACCCGGCUAAUUUUUGUAUUUUUAUUAGAGAUGGGGUUUCACCAUGUGACAACAGGCUUUUUAAUUAGACACGCCCACCCCCAUCGUGAGGUCAUCGUUUUCUGCCGGGAGCCUCCUGGGCCCUGCAAGGUUCCAUGUUGUUCCGGCUGUGUUGGACACUGCUGCCAACGGCUUUUGGUUGCUCACAGGACUGGGUGGUGCUAAUCCUAAGGACUGUAGGGGGCGGGGGGCGGCAUCUGCAGGGGAGAGCACUGGGAGCACGUGGCCCUGCAGGUGUGACCAGGACCCAAAGAGCUCCUGGCAUAUAGCAACUGCUCAAACCAUGUCUGCUCAGGAACAAGCGAGUGAAUAACUGUCCAAAUUCUUCAUUUGAGAAAUAAGGCACAGAUAUGGUUUAGCUGGGUCCCCACCCAAAUCUCACCUUGAAUUAUAAUAACCCCCACAUGUCGAGGGUGGGGCCAGGUGGAGAUAAUUGAAUCAAGGGGUUGGUUCCCCUCACACCAUUCUCAUGGUAGGGAAUCAGUCUUAUGGGAUCUAAUGGUUUUAUAGAGGGGAGUUCCCCUGCACACGCUCUCUUGCUGCCACCAUGUAAGAUGUGACUUUGCUCCUCCUUUGCCUUCUGCCAUGAUUGCGAG
rnacentral:lncRNA from 1 species